CCCCGUACCAAAAAAAAAAAAAAAUAGAAGCCUUGGAGAAGUCAAGGGGAAGAGACUAUGUGCCAGUGGAGGCUGCUGGGAAGGAGUGGCUGGGAGGCUGAUGGGAACCGAAAAGGGUGGGCCAUGCCUACAGCACAGAGAUAAGCAGGCUCUGCUGAAGAUCCACAAUCUCUUGGAGAUAAACACCAGGGCAGUGUCCGAUAAGCCUCUGGCCUUUGGAACUCUUUUCUUCCUGGGGCACUGACUAUAGCUUGAGGUUUACUCUGGACACUCAGAGCUGGCAGUCAGGGAUGACAACAACACUUGCAGUUCAGUGGAGCCCAGAACUUGGACUGCCUGGAUUUGAAUCAGGCUCUGCCACUCUGGACCUGGUUUCUUACUGUCUCUGCAAGUCAGUGUCCCGCUUGGGAUAGCACCUGCACUGGCACCUACCUCAAAGGUUUGGCAUGAGGGUGAAGAUUCAAUCUAUGGAGGGUCUUUAGAACACUGUGGAACGCAGGAGGCCCUGGUAAGUAAGUGUCAGCUGCAGCCAAGGAGUGAGCCUUUGGUGGGCCCAGUCCAGGGAAAUGGAAGCUGCUCUGGCUGAAAGGGGAUGGGGUUCUCCUCUUUUUCCCUGACCAUUCCUAGGAGUAGGGCUUGAUGGGACUUUUCUACCAGGCUGAAAAAUCACUGGGUUCUCCAUUCUUGGGAUUCAUUUCUACAUGAGUUUCCUGAACAAGGAGUUCAAGUAGGUGCUGAUGCUUGAAGUCUCGAUUUCUCCUCAGACAACAAAGUUCAACAACCCAAGGAGUACUUGGUGUGACCCAUCUACAAGCACCAGGACAAUCCAGCAAAAGCUGAAAUGCCUGGUGUCAAGCUGGGGAGUGUUUGCAUGUGCAGAGCAACGGUGUAAAUCUCACCCCAGAUAAGACAACACUGCUGACGCCAGAAGGGGUUUUUCCCCAGGGAGGAAAAAAAAUCUCCCCAACAAUAUAAGGCUGUCAUUCUUUCCUGCUUCAUGACCUGUAAAGAAAUUCUGAUAAAAAUGACUUAACUCAAGAGCCUGCAUGUUCCUUCAAAGGCCAACUGUAACUCUCUUGUAACUGCAUCAGCUACUUAUAAGGUUCAACUGGCUUAUCUGCUUGGAAAAAUUACAUGUGUUAGAAGAUCUGAAAAUCAAGUUGUUUGGUUUGAUUCAAACUAGUUAAACCAGUUCAGAAAAGACUAUGAGAUUUUUCUCUCCACCCCCAUCUGCCUUUGUGGUCUCUCCUUAAGAGAAACAAAUGCCCAUCUUCACUUACUGAACUUUAGAGUUGUUUUUUUUUUUGCAAUGCUGGGGAUCAAACCCAGAGCCCCAUGCAAGCGAGGAAAGCACUCCACCUAGCCACACCCCAGCCUGAGCAUUUUCUUAAAAACAUUCAAUAGCGUUAACAGAAGGACAGAAUUUUUCUUUCACUUAUGUGCACUGAGAAAGAUCAUAUUUAAAAUCAUUCACCAAAUACCCAACUGUUAAAGCAAUCUUGAGCUUACCUCAUUUCCAGCUGCUGACCUGAUACUGGGUCCACUGAUGGUGGGCAAGCUGUAGGCCUGUGGGUCCCCAGAUGCCCAGGGAUGAGCACUAUCUAAAGGAAUGCUUCAGUGGCUGGGUGGGAAGAAGCGGGUCCCUUAGCUGACUAUGAGGAAAUCUAAAUAAAUUGCACAGGUGCUGUUAAGCUCCA